UUAAUGUUCUAAGGGAAGAAGCAGGAAGAUAGACGAAUGAUAAAAUAUGUUGUUGUCCUGCCAUUUAUGAGAGCUACGCUUUAUGCCAAAUGGAUUGUGAAAGAGAUGAUUUUGAGGACCAAGUACAGUUUAAUGAGGAAGAUGGAGAUGCAACAAAGGACUGGUGCCUAUUUACUGGUACUAACUUCAUCCUUAUAUUUGUUGUUUUAUUUAGUUAUUUUAUUGAAUAGUUUAUUAUUAUUUAUAAAAGACUGGUCAUUUGUAGUUUGACAACAUACUGUCAUUUUACAUCUGAAAUCAUGCUACUAGAUAGACACUAUGUAUUACCUCCUAGACUCCAUGCUACAUAACUUCUACGACUAUGCAACCAAUGAUCCAAAAUUUCACGUUCUUAUUCCAGAAUUCGUGCAUGUUUCUUUAAUUUAUAUAUAUUAUUUUCUAUGACUAGAUGAGCAUUUUCGUCAUUUGCACAAACAAGAAAUCAAAAGCAAAUCACUCUCUUACCUUUUUUAAGUGGGGAGGAGAUAUUUCAUAUUUCCGGUUGUGUUUUUGAAUGGUCCAUAUGAAAAAAGAUGUUUUUGACUUUUAUACCCCUCAUUUUAAUUGAAGAGAUAGACAAACACGAUUUGAAACUUUUUUUUUUCAAGAAUGUGCUUCCAAGGUUAGGAAUUUUUGAAGCUCAUGGUGUGUAAGCCUUUCUAGAAUGUUUUUUGUUCGAUGUAUUUUUCAUUUUAUCUAUUACCAAGAUUAAUUGA